UGGGGAAUAUUGCACAAUGGGCGAAAGCCUGAUGCAGCGACGCCGCGUGCGGGAUGAAGGCCUUCGGGUUGUAAACCGCUUUUGAUUGGGAGCAAGCGAGAGUGAGUGUACCUUUCGAAUAAGCACCGGCUAACUACGUGCCAGCAGCCGCGGUAAUACGUAGGGUGCAAGCGUUAUCCGGAAUUAUUGGGCGUAAAGAGCUCGUAGGCGGUUUGUCGCGUCUGGUGUGAAAGUCCAUCGCUUAACGGUGGAUCUGCGCCGGGUACGGGCAGGCUAGAGUGCGACAGGGGAGACUGGAAUUCCCGGUGUAACGGUGGAAUGUGUAGAUAUCGGGAAGAACACCAAUGGCGAAGGCAGGUCUCUGGGUCGUCACUGACGCUGAGGAGCGAAAGCGU
rnacentral:rRNA from 1 species